CCUACGGGUGGCUGCAGUGGGGAAUAUUGCACAAUGGGCGCAAGCCUGAUGCAGCCAUGCCGCGUGUGUGAAGAAGGCCUUCGGGUUGUAAAGCACUUUCAGCGGGGAGGAAGGCGGUGAGGUUAAUAACCUCAUCGAUUGACGUUACCCGCAGAAGAAGCACCGGCUAACUCCGUGCCCGCAGCCGCGGUAAUACGGAGGGUGCAAGCGUUAAUCGGAAUUACUGGGCGUAAAGCGCACGCAGGCGGUCUGUCAAGUCGGAUGUGAAAUCCCCGGGCUCAACCUGGGAACUGCAUUCGAAGCUGGCAGGCUAGAGUCUUGUAGAGGGGGGUAGAAUUCCAGGUGUAGCGGUGAAAUGCGUAGAGAUCUGGAGGAAUACCGGUGGCGAAGGCGGCCUCCUGGACAAAGACUGACGCUCAGGUGCGAAAGCGUGGGGAGCAAACAGGAUUAGAUACCCCUGUAGUC
rnacentral:rRNA from 1 species